rnacentral:rRNA from 1 species
GACAGAGGGUGCAAACGUUGUUCGGAAUUACUGGGCGUAAAGCGCGUGUAGGCGGUCUCGCAAGUCGGAUGUGAAAGCCCAGGGCUCAACCCUGGAAGUGCACUCGAUACUGCGAGGCUAGAGUCCCGGAGAGGAUGGUGGAACUCUCGGUGUAGAGGUGAAAUUCGUAGAUAUCGAGAAGAACACCGGUGGCGAAGGCGGCCAUCUGGACGUGACUGACGCUGAGACGCGAAAGCGUGGGGAGCAACAGG